UACGUAGGGGGCAAGCGUUGUCCGGAAUCAUUGGGCGUAAAGAGCGCGUAGGCGGCCCUGUAAGUCCGCUGUGAAAGUCAAGGGCUCAACCCUUGAAUGCCGGUGGAUACUGCAGGGCUAGAGUCCGGAAGAGGAGAGUGGAAUUCCUGGUGUAGCGGUGAAAUGCGCAGAUAUCAGGAAGAACACCCGUGGCGAAGGCGGCUCUCUGGGACGGUACUGACGCUGAGACGCGAAAGCGUGGGGAGCGAACAGG
rnacentral:rRNA from 1 species